UGAGGAAUAUUGGUCAAUGGGCGCAAGCCUGAACCAGCCAUCCCGCGUGCAGGAUGACGGCCCUAUGGGUUGUAAACUGCUUUUGUACAGGAAGAAAAAUCCCUACGUGUAGGGACCUGCCGGUACUGUACGAAUAAGCAUCGGCUAACUCCGUGCCAGCAGCCGCGGUAAUACGGAGGAUGCAAGCGUUAUCCGGAUUCAUUGGGUUUAAAGGGUGCGUAGGCGGCUUUUUAAGUCAGUGGUGAAAUCCUGUCGCUCAACGAUAGAAUUGCCAUUGAUACUGAGAAGCUUGAGUUCAGUUGAGGUAAGCGGAAUGUGUAGUGUAGCGGUGAAAUGCUUAGAUAUUACACAGAACACCGAUUGCGAAGGCAGCUUACUAAACUGACACUGACGCUGAUGCACGAAAGCGUGGGGAUCGAACA
rnacentral:rRNA from 1 species